rnacentral:rRNA from 1 species
AGAACGAACGCUGGCGGCACGCCUAAUACAUGCAAGUCGAACGAACUCUUCGGAGUUAGUGGCGCACGGGUGCGUAACGCGUGGGAAUCUGCCCCUUGGUUCGGAAUAACAGUUGGAAACGACUGCUAAUACCGGAUGAUGACGAAAGUCCAAAGAUUUAUCGCCAAGGGAUGAGCCGCGUAGGAUUAGCUAGUGGUGAGGUAAGCUCACAAGGCAACGAUCCUUAGCUGGUCUGAGAGGAUGAUCAGCCACACUGGGACUGAGACACGGCCCAGACUCCGUACGGGAGCAGCAGUAGGGAAUAGUGGACAAGUGGGCGAAAGCCUGAUCCAGCAAUCGCCGCGUGAGUGAUGAAGGUCCGUUAGGUAUAAA